CGCACGGGUGAGUAAUGCAUAGGUAACGUGCCCCUUAGUCUGGAUAGCCACUGGAAACGGUGAAUAAUACCGGAUACUCCUUCUCACUUAAUGUGAGUCGGGAAAGUUUUUCGCUAAGGGAUCGGCCUAUGUCCUAUCAGGUAGUUGGUGAGGUAAGAGCUCACCAAGCCUAUGACGGGUAGCGGGUCUGAGAGGAUGAUCCGCCACACUGGUACUGAGACACGGACCAG
rnacentral:rRNA from 1 species